rnacentral:rRNA from 1 species
UCGGAAUUGCUAGUAAUCGCGGAUCAGCAUGCCGCGGUGAAUACGUUCCCGGGCCUUGUACACACCGCCCGUCACACCAUGAGAGUCGGGGACACCCGAAGCCUGUAGCAUAACCGCGAGGGGUGCGCAGUCGAAGGUGGAUUCGAUGAUUGGGGUGAAGUCGUAACAAGGUACC